AUUGCCUCUGUUUUUUUUUAAGAAAAACCAAUCUUGAUGAUCAAUUUUUUCUUUUAUAGAACAUGAUAAACUCUCCACCUAUUUUUUUCUUCUUUUUUCUAGAGGAAGGAAAAAUUUAUCUUUUCCAAUGACUUGGUAGGCAUAUUUGGUCACUCAUUGUGGUGCUAUGGGAAUUAUUAGAUCUAUAGAUAUAGUAAUGUUGUAGCAUCCGGACCCAGAAAUUUGAC
rnacentral:lncRNA from 1 species